GCUUGCUCCUGGAUUCUGCGGCGGACGGGAGAGUAAUGCCUAGGAAUCUGCCUGGUAGUGGGGGAUAACGUCCGGAAACGGGCGCUAAUACCGCAUACGUCCUGAGGGAGAAAGUGGGGGAUCUUCGGACCUCACGCUAUCAGAUGAGCCUAGGUCGGAUUAGCUAGUUGGUGGGGUAAAGGCCUACCAAGGCGACGAUCCGUAACUGGUCUGAGAGGAUGAUCAGUCACACUGGAACUGAGACACGGUCCAGACUCCUACGGGAGGCAGCAGUGGGGAAUAUUGGACAAUGGGCGAAAGCCUGAUCCAGCCAUGCCGCGUGUGUGAA
rnacentral:rRNA from 1 species